UGUCUUAUUCUAACCCAGCCAUCUGCAUUAAGCAAAAAAGCACAAGCAGUAUAUGAUACAUGGGGAAGUCGAUGUACUUUUUUGUACUUUUUAAGCACAAAGUCAGACCUGGGAGAUUUUGGUCUACCUGUCCUCCAUAAUCCAGCUAAGGUAUAUAUAAUAAACGUUAUUUAAAGGAACCCUCGUCGAAAAUUUGUUCAAAUUAUCUAACACAUAAAAAGGGUCAUUUCCAAUUCACAACGGUACCCUUUAAACAUUGAUCUAACAAUAAUGUUGAAGAAAUUGUCGUUUUUUAUGGCUUAAAAAUGGAAAAUGUAUAAUUCAGAGAAUUCAAAAGCCUUUUUUAUGGCCCGUUUUAAACCCAAGUCACUGUCUUGCAAUUUUCAUGAAACCACAAUAUGAAAUCCUAAACUGUAAGUCAAAUAUCAGGCUUAGUAGAACACUGUAGAUCAAUAUCAUGUUUAGUAGAACACUGUAGGUCAAUAUCAUGUUUAGUAGAACACUGUAGAUCAAAUAUCAUGUUUAGUAGAACACUAUAGGUCAAUAUCAUGUUUAGUAGAACACUGUAGGUCAAUAUCAUAUUUAGUAGAACACUAUAGAUCAAAUAUCAUGUUUAGUAGAACACUAUAGGUCAAAUAUCAUGUUUAGUAGAACACUGUAGGUUAAUAUCAUGUUUAGUAGAACACUGUAAGUCAAUAUCAUGUUUAGUAGAACAUUGUAGGUCAAUAUCAUGUUUAGUAGAACACUGUAGGUCAAUAUCAUGUUUAGUAG